rnacentral:snRNA from 1 species
GUGCUCGCUUCGGCAGCACAUAUACCA